GAAGGUUGCUGGAGUCAACAAAGCGCCGUCUGUCAUCACCCACACGGCCUCUGCCACCCUCACCCACGAUGCCCCCGCCACCACCUUCAGCCAGAGUCAGGGCCUUGUGAUCACCACCCAUCACCCUGCCCCGUCAGCGGCCCCUUGUGGGCUGGCACUGUCUCCUGUCACCCAGCCUCCCCAGCCACGGUUAACUUUUGUGCACCCCAAACCUGUAUCCUUGACUGGGGGCAGGCCUAAGCAGCCCCACAAAAUAGUGCCUGCUCCCAAACCAGAGCCCGUGUCCUUGGUGUUGAAGAAUGCCCGCAUCGCCCCAGCUGCCUUUUCAGGCCAACCACAAGCGGUGAUCAUGACGUCAGGGCCUCUGAAGAGAGAAGGGAUGUUGGCCUCCACCGUGUCCCAGUCCAACGUGGUCAUUGCACCUGCUGCCAUCGCCAGGGCUCCUGGGGUCCCGGAGUUCCACAGCAGCAUCCUGGUGACAGAUCUCGGCCAUGGCACGAGCAGCCCGCCUGCCCCCGUCUCCCGGCUCUUCCCAAGCACAGCGCAAGACCCCCUGGGGAAGGGCGAGCAGGUCCCGCUGCAUGGGGGCAGCCCCCAGGUCACUGUCACAGGGCCCAGUGAGUGUUCACUCGGCGGGAUGGUUGGGGCAUCGCAAGGGAAGUAACUGGGCCUGCCGUAGACCAUGGGGGGUGCUUGCUGGGUCCCCAGGAUGGAGCCUGGGCUUAGGACACACAGUGAGGUCUUGUAGGCCUGCUGAUAACACAGUCUGGGAACACGCUCUGUGGGUGGCAGGAUGAACUGUGGUGGCACUGGCAGGGCAAAAAGUAGUGGGCAUGUGGCAGUGUAGGUGACCCGUGUGCUCGGGGAGUCCCUGCUGACUGCCCACGAAGGCCUGCUACUGAGCUGCUGAUCUCACCCAGAGAAGGGAUUGAGGAGCCCUGGGCUUCCUGUCUCUGGGAGCAUCAGCCUGGGGUUGCUGUGGCCACAGAAGCCGUCCAGCCUCAUCUGGGCACCAACGUGGCCUUCCCCAGCAGGUCUCAGCACUACAGGUCUGUGGCCCAUGUCCACUCUUGGGCCAUCCAGGGGCAAGAUAGUCAGAGCAGGACUGAUUUUGCCCAGGGACAUCUGAGGAGCCAACAGGCCAGAUCAGGGACAAAUGGUGCGCCCGAGGCUGUGCUGCUGGUAGAGGGUGUGGGCAGAUGGGGCCCCUUCCCUCAAAUGCCUGCCAUACCAGGAAGGGAAAUGGAAAUGGCCUCUUUUCUUAAAUAAAUGCAUGGUGUAGGCCAGGCGCAGUGGCUCAUGCCUGUACGCCCAGCACUUUGGGAGGCUAAGGCAGGUGGAUCACUUGAGGUCAGGAGUUCGAGACCAGCCCAGCCAACAUGGUGAAACCUUGUCCCUAUCAAAAAAUAAAAAAAAUUAAAUUUAAUUUAAAAAAAAGCAGGGCUUAGUGGCAUGCACCUGUAGUCCCAGCUACUCAGGAGACCGAGAUGGGAGAAUCACUUGAACCCAGGAGGUGGAGGUUGAAGUGAGCUGAGAUCGAGUCACUGCACUCCAGCCUGGGUGACAGAGCGAGACUCAAUCUCAAACAAACAAAGGCAUGGUGUAGCUGCUCCUGGAACUCUGUGAGCAAACAGUUGUCUCCCUCUUCCCUCAGGAAGACGUGAAUGAGGGAGGGUCUCUGACUUAGUGGGCUCAGCCAGCAGGGGCCUUUUCCAAGGACAGGCUUUGGAGAGUAAGGACUCUUCAGUCUGGAAAGAUAGAAACAAGAGAGUUGGGAGUCAGGCCCCUCAAAUAAUCGAGGGAGAGGUUAGGGCCAACCAUUGCCUUGGUCUCCGGAGUCUCAGAACACAGAACUUAGAGCCUGCUGUACAGCCUCACGGGGAGUUUGGGGAAAAUAAUCCAGCAGAGAGGAAAGGAAGCGGAGGCAUUUGUUACAGUAAAGCAGAAUGGGCCGAGAAGGCCGAGUCCACCUGGGACUGAGCACGGUCACUCACUCCUCUAAUACUAGCACUUUGGGAGGCAGAGGCAGGUGGAUCGCUUGAGCCCAGGAGAUUGAGACCAGCCUAGACAAUAUAGUGAGACCUUGGCUCUAUAAAAAAUUUUUUAAUUAAAAAAUAUAAUAAUAAUAAAGAGCCCACCUGCGAAAUAUCUCCUAAAGCGACACCAGUGACUGGAACGCGUCACACAGGGUUGCUCCAUCGUGUUCUGUGUGGAUUAAGGGUGUUUUUGUUGUUGUUAUUAAUUUAAGAGUUUCAGGGAGUGAAUAAGAAAAAUCUAAGGAAGCAUGUGUGUGCAGUUGAAAGAACCAAGUGCAAUACGUGGCUAGCAGCGAGCACCUCAUAACCCUGCAGAGACCCCAGGCUGCCUCCUGGUGGCGUUGAGGGGCCAGGCCUCCGCCCCUCAGAGGAGUCUGUUCUUACCAGGUCGGGACUGCCCAAACUCAGGGCAGGCCUCUCCGUGUGCAUCGGAGCAGAGCCCCAGUCCUCAGUCUCCCCAGAACAACUGCUCAGGGAAAUCCGACCCCAAAAAUGUGGCUGCACUAAAGCAGAACCGGCAGAUGAAGCACAUCUCAGCUGAGCAGAAAAGGCGCUUCAACAUCAAGAUGUGCUUCGACAUGCUCAACAGCCUCAUCUCCAACAAUUCCAAGCUGGUGAGUUGCCAAGAGCGUGGGCUGUGGCAGGGCAGGGGAGCUGGCAGGACGUGCUCCCUGCGUGGUCAUUGCCGGUGGCAGGCCUGCUGGCUGUGGGUGCUGCCUCCAGCCACCUGCCCCUUCUGCAGACCAGUCACGCCAUCACACUGCAGAAGACCGUGGAGUACAUCACCAAGCUGCAGCAGGAGA
rnacentral:sRNA from 1 species